rnacentral:rRNA from 1 species
UACGGAGGGUGCAAGCGUUGUCCGGAUUUAUUGGGUUUAAAGGGUGCGUAGGCGGUCUGGUAAGUCGGCGAUGAAAGCCCGGGGCUCAACCCCGGAACUGUCGUCGAUACUGUCGGACUUGAGUACGGGUGAGGCUGGCGGAAUGGGCGGUGUAGCGGUGAAAUGCAUAGAUACCGUCCAGAACCCCGAUUGCGAAGGCAGCUGGCUAAGCCGUAACUGACGCUGAGGCACGAAAGCGUGGGGAGCGAACAGG